rnacentral:rRNA from 1 species
CUCCGUAGGUGAACCUGCGGAGGGAUCAUUACAGAGUUAUCCAACUCCCAAACCCAUGUGAACAUAUCUCUUUGUUGCCUCGGCGCAAGCUACCCGGGACCUCGCGCCCCGGGCGGCCCGCCGGCGGACAAACCAAACUCUGUUAUCUUCGUUGAUUAUCUGAGUGUCUUAUUUAAUAAGUCAAAACUUUCAACAACGGAUCUCUUGGUUCUGGCAUCGAUGAAGAACGCAGCGAAAUGCGAUAAGUAAUGUGAAUUGCAGAAUUCAGUGAAUCAUCGAAUCUUUGAACGCACAUUGCGCCCAUUAGUAUUCUAGUGGGCAUGCCUGUUCGAGCGUCAUUUCAACCCCUAAGCACAGCUUAUUGUUGGGCGUCUACGUCUGUAGUGCCUCAAAGACAUUGGCGGAGCGGCAGCAGUCCUCUGAGCGUAGUAAUUCUUUAUCUCGCUUCUGUUAGGCGCUGCCCCCCCGGCCGUAAAACCCCCAAUUUUUUCUGGUUGACCUCGGAUCAGGUAGGAAUACCCGCUGAACUUAAGCAUAUCAAAAA